rnacentral:snoRNA from 1 species
AAGUCAAUGAUGAUAGAAACUUUUUGUUGGAAUUACCGUCUGAAACUUCUGUGGAUAAAAAUUGGCUGUAUACCUGAGCCUUUCU